rnacentral:rRNA from 1 species
CACGUAGGGCGCAAGCGUUGUCCGGAAUUAUUGGGCGUAAAGAGCUCGUAGGCGGACUGUCACGUCUGCUGUGAAAGCUGGGGCUUAACCCUGGCCUUGCAGUGGAUACGGGCAGACUAGAGGUAGGUAGGGGAGAAUGGAAUUCCCGGUGUAGCGGUGAAAUGCGCAGAUAUCGGGAGGAACACCGGUGGCGAAGGCGGUUCUCUGGGCCUUACCUGACGCUGAGGAGCGAAAGCGUGGGGAGCGAACAGG